GGGUGAUUCUUCUGGACUAAUUCAUGUGGCUGCAAUUGGAGCUAGAUGAUCUAAAUGGUCUCACUCCUAGGUCUGGCUGUUGAUGUUGGCGGUUGACUGAGCCAGGGGCCACCAGCAGGCUAGCGGGGGCUGUUCACUCAGCAGCAGGGUUCCAAGAGGACGAGCCCAACACACACGUGCUUUUCAAGCCUGUGAUUAUCAGGGCUGUACUGCAACAAUCUGCCGCAAUCAGUAACAACCACAUAAGAAGGCAAUGACAAGUUAUGAUUAUUGCUCUGAAGAGAUUGAGCAGGAUGGUAUGAGAGAGUUACUAUUCCAAGUGACCUCUGGGCCAGCAGCAUUGGCAUCACCUGGGAGUUGUGAGAAAUCCAGCAUCUCAGGCUCCACUGCAGGUCUCCUAAAUCAGAAUCUACAGUUUAACAAGAUCCUCAGAUGUGCGUGUAAGGUUUACAGAGAGAAGAUUCAAGCCUCAACAGGCCAGCUCAAGAACCUGUUGAGAGGAGCACCUAGCAUAAGACCUAGCUUGUGAUAGCUGCUCCUGGCAUGUCCUUCUCCAUCAAGCCAACUUGUUAAACCUCUUCACGGCUGAGAUCAUGCUACUUUCUUCAGAUCUGCCACCCUCUAGCUGGGUGACUUUUAGGCAAGUGAUCUGACCUCUCUGAGCCAGAGUUUCUAUCUUGUAAAAAAAAAUCCCUUCCUGCAUGGUCAGCUGUCAUGAAAAGGACACAUGGUGAUGGGCAGACAAAGACAAGGCUUAGCUUCGUGUUUGACUCCUGGAAGCACCCAGUUCAUGGAGGCUGCUGCUGUUACUAAUCUCUGUUUCCAUCUUCCCCUGGAAAUCCUGAGGUUUAUUUGUGAGUCUUUGGACUGAUGUAUGGACAACAUACUCUGCAUUAGCAUGAAGAAGUGAGUGAAGACUCUCCCUUGAACUGUGUGCACUGAAAGAGCAGAGGUCACAUCUUGAUAUCUCAGUGUCUUUACAGUGCCAGGGAUGGGGUAGGUGCUGAGCGCCUGGUAUGUGCUCACCCUAUGCUGUACAAAACACAGAAAGCCCCACGGGGUUUGAACUGUAAUUAGGUAGAGGGUGUGUGGGACUCCCCUUGGAUCUCUGACUUUGGCUUCUCCUCCCGACCUGCAUAGGCAGAUAUUUUCUAGUAGAUGUCAGAGACUCCGGUUGAUAGCACUACAAUGGCUUUUCUCCCAACUUUUUAUUUUACAAAUUAUCAAGCCAACAGAAAAGUUGCAAGAAUAGCACAAUGAACAUGCAUAUACCCUUCACCUGGAUUCACCACUUUUGUUUCGUUUCUCUCAGUGUACAUGUUUGUGUGUGUUGGAGACAUGGCAUUUUACCUGUAAACCAGGCACUUCCUAGGAACAAGAACAGCUUUCCAUAUAACUACAAUACAAUGAUGACCCUCAAAAAACUUUGCAUUAAUAAAUCCCAUUAGUUAA